GACAGGAAGUGGUUUGAUAAUGUUGGCUUGGUUUGUGUUGUGGUUUCACUUCAGUUUGUGCAACACUAAGGUUUGAGUGGAGGUGUUGUUGGGGAGUGUUGGGCUGUUAAGGAACACUCCAACCAGUGGAUUAUGAAAACAUUUGCCUCAUUGAUAAGAUAUAUUCUCCUAUAUUACUUCUUGGACAUUUUGCCCUCAUGGAAUGUUCAUUAGACCAGUUUCUCUCAAACUCUUCAAACUUACGGGACACUUUCACACUUCUUGGUGUGCAACAGAAUCCACAUACGACCCCCUCUCCCAAUAUUGGUAGAACACCCCACCCAAACCACAUUAAGCUAGAUCGCUGGCAACCAUGGAUGGGUUGGUGGGUGUGGUGGAGGACUGGCUGGGGGACUGUGACCAGGCCUCGGACAGCAGGCAACUGUAUGAGUGUCUGCAGAGUGAUCAGGAACGCCUCUGCCACGCCAUUUACACCCUUUGUGAUGAACGUUCCAGGUGUCCAGAAUUGUUUGAGAGUUCUGUCAAGCAACUGUUUGCUCUAGCACGCAGCAAGGAUGAAAGGCUGCGUGAGUUUGUCCUUCUCUUCUCUCCAAGUCUCCUCUACAUUUAUCUCUCAGCCAUCAGCUUGGGGGACAAAAAGGGUGUGGGCAGUGUGGAGGUGGCUCUCUUGGCACUGUACAACAUGGAGGUGCUUGAUGAACAGGGGCAGCCCAGGAUUGCGCCGUUCCGCCUGCCCACUCUUGCACGCCCCUCGGUCUUUCAUGAGCCUGAAAGCCUAGCACCAGCCUCCUUCACUGUGGGCUCCUUGCAGCGACUGGAGAUAGGAGAUACAGACUCUGUGCGGUGGGGGCCCCCCACCCAGAUGACCUCCAUCACAGCCUCCACACGACACCACUUGGCCACGGCCAUCAUGGUCGCCUUCAAUGCUCGCUUGGCCACCUUGCCCAAGAUUGCUCUUGUGCACCUCUGCAAGGCUGUUUCCAAGCUGUUGUGUCAGGGCUUCAAUCGGCCCGGCCACCACCACCGCUCCUCCUAUGGGAAUGAAAGCAGCUUUGGCCUGUACCCAAGACCCACACCCAGGAUACCUGUCACUUCGGAGCUCCUCAAGGAGUUCUUGCAUGCUGUGUACUUCGCCAUGCCAGCUGAACGCAGCCUGCAUGACCUGCCACCUAUCACCAGCAUAAGCAUGCCUCUCGCACACUUCCAUUACUCAAGCCACAAUGCCACCAGGGGAGGGGGAACGCUUUGUCCUGCCAUGAUGCCCAAUUGUGCCGGACAGUGUUACCAUAGUCCCCAUGUCAAACUGCGCAGGUUCAACGAAUUUGCCAGUUUGGGAAUACAAGCUCUGGAAGACAUACACAUGAGGGCACAAUAUGAACUGUUUGCUGAUGUUCUUCUCAUGACAAAUGGCAUCAAGAAUUCCCUCAAAGUCAACCCAAGUGGUCAGCCGAGCGAUGGUCCAAUGGGGAUCAGCGUGGCACUCACCCCUUCCACCACCACCAACACUCCGCUCUCCAAAACCUUCAUCACAAAUGCCUCCUUCAGGACCAAGAAGUUGCCAGAUGAUCUGUUAGAGUGUACUGGGGAUGAGGAGGAUCCCUUUGCCUUGGACCGGUAUGUGGAUGUUAGCCGUGACCCAACGUUCGGCCACACACUCCAGCCCAGCCAGGGUCACACUCACUCCCCUGGUCCUGCUUCCCAGCCUGCCACAUCCUCCUCCUCCUCCCGCCACACUCCUCAGAUGGGUGUCACUGCCCUUAAGAUGAUUCCAGAGUCCAAGGUCCUCAAGAGCCCAGAGUCUCGCCGCUUUGGUGACUCAGGCAGUCGGUCCUCAAGUGGCAAACAGGAGUCUGGCUCUCAGUCACCCAAAACUCACUUGCUUGACCUGCACUUGGGCCGCAGGCACAAGCGAGUACCCUCAGGGGGACAGGGAUCAGGGGAACAUGCAAAUAAAUCCAGUGAGUCUCCCAACAUGUCUCCUAGACAGAACCGAGAGGGAGCCCAGUCUCCAAAGGGAAUUCGCUUAGACUUACACAUUACCCGAAAGCAUAAGAGAUCUUUGUCUGGCAGCCAGAGUGGCUCUGAGACCCAGCAUAAUAAAGUGGGAGACUCUCCCAACCUCUCCUCUAGACCAUCAAGUGCUAGAGUUGAAGGAUCUACUCAUUCACCAAAGGCAAAUUUUUUGGAUAUACACCUCAAUCAUAGACAUAAGCGAUCCUCCUCGGGCGGGCAAGGGAUGGUCGAUUUUGUAUCGGAUAAAUUUGGUGACUCUCCAGCAACAUCUACAGAGCUGUUGACAAAAGAUACUUCUCCGACGUCUGACAAAAGAUUCAUAUCUUUCUUAAAGACACACAUCCCUUUUGUUAGCUCACAAACUCAGUCUGCAGGACUCAACUUCCGAUCUCAGGCCUCCCCCAGCAGUGCCCCAGAGGAGGAAGCUCCAGAUGCUCCUCCUAAGAGUGUCUCUACGAGGCACUCUGGUCAUGUGAGGCACUCGUCUGAGUCAGGGCCUGGACAAACCCUGCACCACCAGUCUGCUCCCUCCACACCAAGCAAGAUGGCAAACCGUCACUCUGCUGAUCUCUCAGGCCCACCCCUCAGGCCACGCAGUGUCGUGGUGGACGGCAACAGGUUCCAGGAGGACCUUUGGGACUUGUAAGAAAGACCUGACUUCCAUUUUAGGUCCACCUUUCAAACACUGCUCCAUUCAUCAGUCUUAGAUAGAUACCUUAAGAAAAACAAAAUUUGCAUUUUAGAAAGAAACCAUAUUGAUGGUUUAGCAGACUUAGAAAUCCCUUGCAUAGGAUGGCUAGAGGUGGUGUGGGGGAGGCAGGAGGAGUCACAACAGAAGUGAAGCUUGGCCAAGAGUGUGGAGCCGCAGGUUUGGUGGACUAACGACAUUCCCAUCCAGAGUACAGAAGACGACAGACCCCUCACCUCCAUCCAGGAGGAAGGGGAUGCGGGUGAGGACAAGAACAAGCCCAUCCGCACCCCUCAGGGCUCCAGCAGGGAAAAGGAUGGCAAGGAGAAA
rnacentral:misc_RNA from 1 species